UACGUAGGCAGCGAGCGUUGUUCGGAAUUACUGGGCGUAAAGCGUGCGUAGGCGGUCGGGUAAGUUUGGUGUGAAAUCUCCCGGUUCAACCGGGAGGGUGCGCCGAAAACUGGCCGGCUAGAGUGCGGGAGAGGGAAGUGGAAUUCCUGGUGUAGCGGUGAAAUGCGUAGAUAUCAGGAGGAACACCGGUGGUGAAGACGUCUUCCUGGACCGUGACUGACGCUGAGGCACGAAAGCCUGGGGACCAAACAGG
rnacentral:rRNA from 1 species